rfam:Salmo salar isolate Sally breed double haploid chromosome ssa04, whole genome shotgun sequence.
AUGUUACUAAUUUGUAAGUCGCUCUGGAUAAGAGCGUCUGCUAAAUGACUUCAA